rnacentral:rRNA from 2 species
UGAGUGAGUGGCGAACUGGUGAGUAACACGUGGGAAACCUGCCCAGAAGCGGGGGAUAACACCUGGAAACAGAUGCUAAUACCGCAUAACAACUUGGACCGCAUGGUCCGAGCUUGAAAGAUGGCUUCGGCUAUCACUUUUGGAUGGUCCCGCGGCGUAUUAGCUAGAUGGUGGGGUAACGGCUCACCAUGGCAAUGAUACGUAGCCGACCUGAGAGGGUAAUCGGCCACAUUGGGACUGAGACACGGCCCAAACUCCUACGGGAGGCAGCAGUAGGGAAUCUUCCACAAUGGACGAAAGUCUGAUGGAGCAACGCCGCGUGAGUGAAGAAGGGUUUCGGCUCGUAAAACUCUGUUGUUAAAGAAGAACAUAUCUGAGAGUAACUGUUCAGGUAUUGACGGUAUUUAACCAGAAAGCCACGGCUAACUACGUGCCAGCAGCCGCGGUAAUACGUAGGUGGCAAGCGUUGUCCGGAUUUAUUGGGCGUAAAGCGAGCGCAGGCGGUUUUUUAAGUCUGAUGUGAAAGCCUUCGGCUCAACCGAAGAAGUGCAUCGGAAACUGGGAAACUUGAGUGCAGAAGAGGACAGUGGAACUCCAUGUGUAGCGGUGAAAUGCGUAGAUAUAUGGAAGAACACCAGUGGCGAAGGCGGCUGUCUGGUCUGUAACUGACGCUGAGGCUCGAAAGUAUGGGUAGCAAACAGGAUUAGAUACCCUGGUAGUCCAUACCGUAAACGAUGAAUGCUAAGUGUUGGAGGGUUUCCGCCCUUCAGUGCUGCAGCUAACGCAUUAAGCAUUCCGCCUGGGGAGUACGGCCGCAAGGCUGAAACUCAAAGGAAUUGACGGGGGCCCGCACAAGCGGUGGAGCAUGUGGUUUAAUUCGAAGCUACGCGAAGAACCUUACCAGGUCUUGACAUACUAUGCAAAUCUAAGAGAUUAGACGUUCCCUUCGGGGACAUGGAUACAGGUGGUGCAUGGUUGUCGUCAGCUCGUGUCGUGAGAUGUUGGGUUAAGUCCCGCAACGAGCGCAACCCUUAUUAUCAGUUGCCAGCAUUAAGUUGGGCACUCUGGUGAGACUGCCGGUGACAAACCGGAGGAAGGUGGGGAUGACGUCAAAUCAUCAUGCCCCUUAUGACCUGGGCUAC